AUGGUGCGAGAGUGCGUGUUUGUGUAUGUGUGUGUGUGUGUUUCUGACAGUGUGUGUGAAACAAGAGUUUCUCUAACCGCGCUCUCAUUGGCAGGCGACCAGUGCAGCGCUAGCAGCACACACACCACCGCAGCAUAUUCCUCCCCAUCAGGUCAUUAUCAUCGUUCCAGUGGUUUGCCUCUGCAGGUUGAUGAAACAGAUACAACGCUUGUGAGUACUUCAUUAUUCAUUUGAAUCCAUAAAUGCAAUUAAUUAAGCUUAAGUGUGCAAUAAAUCUGAUUAGCCAGUCGGUUCCCAGAACACCAUAAAAUCCACACAGGUCUUAUUCCCUUUAAUUAAUUUGUGGAGAGGGAGGGGGCAAAUACCCAUGCAUACGUUAAUGUAUGCACACAAACACACACACAGUGCUUGACUAUGACUGAAAUAGGUCCCAGUACUCAUUUUGGGUGCCGGUACAGUUUAUAUUUAGGUACAGGUGCUCCACAAUAAUAUUCUAUAACAGGAACAAGAGCUCUAGCAGUACUCUGCUCCAGUGAGCUCCUACCCAAGUCAAGCACUGUACACACACACACUCUCUGUAACGGCGUUCGUCUGUUGAAGGAGAGUCGGACCAAAAUGCAGCGUGGUGGUUACUCGUGUCUUUUAAUGAAGAAUAGCGAUACAUGAAAUAACUAUAUAUAAACAAAACAACAAACGGAACGCGAAAACCUAUUACAGCCUAUCUGGUGAAACUACACAGAGACAGGAACAAUCACCCACAAAAUACACAGAGAAACCCUGGCUACCUAAAUAUGGUUCCCAAUCAGAGACAACGAGAAUCACCUGACUGAUUGAGAACUGCCUCGGGCAGCCAAGCCUAUGCUAGACACACCCCUAAUCAGCCACAAUCCCAAUGCCUACAAAAACCCCAAUACGACAACACAAUAAACCCAUGUCACACCCUGGCCUGAACAAAUAAUUAAAGAAAACACAAAAUACUAAGACCAAGGCGUGACACUCUCACACACACAAACAGAACGGUAUACACACACUCACAUGUAUACACACACACACACAUGUACACACACACGCACACAAUAUGCAAAGAGCUAUUCAUUGGGGAUGAAAGAUAAACUGGGAUUAAUGUAUGCUAAUAUUAAGGGGCACCACGAACAACAAAAUAUGCAAGGUCAUCAGUAAACCUGAAGUGUAAUUAAUAGAUGGAAUUAGCAACGAAAACAAUAGGGCACUUCAACUGCUUAUUGAUAAAAAAUGACACGUUGGAAAGGAGAAUAGAAAUGGGCUUAUUAAAUGUGUUGACAGCAGUUGUCCCAAAAAUAAAGC
rnacentral:lncRNA from 1 species